GAAGCGCAAUUUCGCCGCAGAGGGGAGCGGAUCCCCGGGCAAACGAGGCUGAGAUAAUUGAACAGUUCCUCCGCGGAGACCCAGGAGGCCUCCUGACUCUCCCUGGAUCCAAACCCCGCAGGAGGGGGGCGAAGGAGAGGAUCUGGUAGCUGAGAACCAAAUUCCUGCUCCGGGGGGGGUGCCAGAGGCUGGGGCAGGGAGGAGAGAGGGAGAGGGGCCUGUGAGGACAUUGGGGGGGUGUGUGAGAGAGGGGAUGGGUGCCAGGAUGUGGCAGCUGGCUUCUGGCACUGCGGGUGCCAGCCUCCUGGACCCCCACCCACUGACAGGUGUCCCCCUCCCUCCCUCCUUUAAACUGAAGGGGCCAAAUGCAGAAGUUUGCAUUCUCUGGCCUGGUGUCCCCGGCAGCCCCAGGAGGUGGAAAGCGAAGCACUUCUGGUUAUGAGGAGGAAGAGGAAGAGCAGGAGGCUGAGGGUGGGGGCCAAAAGCACAUCGGACGCCCCCUAGCAGAGGGACACAAUUCCUGCUGUGCAUGUGGGGGCAGUGAUAGGGGGGGUGAGAGAAAGAGCUGGAGGACAUUCUCAGCCAGUUUUAAAGGUCCACUCUAUGGAACUGCUGUGAGAAGAAGGCAUGGAAGCAAAGAAUCGGAUGGGACCCCCAAAGGUCAUCCAGCUCAACCCCCUGCAAUGCAGGAAUCCAGCGAAAGAAUCCCAGCCUAAGAACAUAAGAAUCGCCUGACGGAUCAGCCAGUGGCCCUUGCAUCCUGCUCUCACAGUGGGAAACCAGCAAGCAGAAUCGACCCCCUCGUGCCCUCUCCCCUCCUGUGGUUUCCAGGGGCCAUUGCUAGCCCUGCCUAGAAAUGUCGCUGGGGACUGAUCCUGGGACCUUCUGGAUUGGGAGGGGCACCCAACGGUCAUCUAGUCCAACCCCCUGCGACACAAGAAUCGCAGCUCAAGAUUCCCUGGUCGGUGGGCCAUUCGAGCUAUGCUCAAAUGAAGCAAAUCAUUGUUUCGUUGGAAGCUGGGUCGUCGAGUGUAACCCACAAAUUUAGUCCCGUGCUGGAAUCAAAGCUGUGUGUUAUCCACAGUGGUUGGUGCUUCAGAAUAUCAGUCAGUUAUAUCCUACAGUCUUGCGGGGAGGGGGUGACCUGCUCCCACCCCAUGUGCACAGCUGUCAACUUACAGAUUUGAAAAUAAGGGACCAGCAGCCUCGAAAAUAAGGAAUCAGCAGCCAAAAUAAGGGAUCAACAAUUACUUUGAUAAAAUACAUAUUUUGUUGCAUGCAAAUGGCUUUAGAUACCUAUUAGGUCCAUAAAUUACCAUAUAGCACAUAUUCAACACAAACAAACAGCCAACAAUUUGUUAUUGACAAAGGACAGCUGGACAUAGAAAGGGCCCCAUUACCUUCAGGAGCUUAUUUAAGGGACAUCAUCAAUAAGGGACAGCAGCGGGACAUGGCGCUGGGAUAAGGGACUGUCCCGCCAAAUAAGGGACACUUGACAGCUAUGCCCAUGUGCCCCCACCCGAGUCCAAGAGGCAGGAGGGGGCAGCCUCAGGCCAUCACGGUUGCAAGGCCCCCAGUACCAGGCCGUGUUAGGAGUUCUGAAGGUAUAGAAGACCAGGAGAGAUGGGCGCUGGUCCUCACCCUGCCCAGUUCCUCCCAUUUGGGGGGGGUCUUCUUUUUCAGGUGGCUGCAUUCCCAGGACCAACCACUAGAGGGGCACAGAGCCCCACGCUCAGCUCCAGUCCCCACAUUAAGGGGUCAGUCCAGGUUAAGACCACCAGAGGCAGCUCCUCUUUUCGCAAAAGCACCUUGCCUGGAAGUUUUAUCUGGCGGAAUGCUGUUUCCUAACCAGAUACCCCUGGAGCUUUCUCUGCGUCGAUGCACUCUGUGCAUGCUCAGAAACACUCUCAACUUGAUUGUGGUUGGUUCUGGGACAAAACUCUUCAUUCACUGAAAAGCAACUCUGCUGGCGGGAAGGAGGUGCUGGGCUGGAUAGGUGUUGGCCUGAUCCUGGAGUAGUUAUGCAACUGAGACUCUGGGGGAAUCUUUAAAGAAUAUUUAGAAAACUAUGGAAUAAAAGGAAACACCUUGGCAGAAUCAGACUGAUCCCUGUAUUGUAUAAAUAUAAGUUCGUAGGGAGGUAAAAAGAAAUUAUAUAAGAAAUUAGUAACUGUGCAGUAUAAAGUAAUGGAUAGAUAAAGUACAGUGAGAUUAACUAGAAGUCCAUUUUAAAUUUCUUCUCUCUAAGUUUUAUAAUUGUUUUGAGUAUCAGGAGUAUAUAUGAUGAUAAUUAUAUUAAUCUUCUUGUAUCUUAUAGUGUGGUGGUUUGUUUGAUUUUUCUGUUAUUUGUUUGUUUGAUUGUAUGUUUGUUUACUUGUAUGUACGUCUGUUUUCUCAUAAAUGUAUUUAUUUUAAAUUAAUAAAGAUAUAU